UGUUACUUUGGCAGAUUAGUGCGUUAGAUUUAGAAUCUUUUUAUGUAAAAGUUUUACAGGUAAUAU
rnacentral:tRNA from 1 species